GAUGAACGUUGGCGGUGUGCCUAAUACAUGCAAGUCGAACGGUGAUCUUAUGGGAGCUUGCUUCCAUUUGAUUAUAGUGGCGAACGGGUGAGUAACGCGUUGGUGAUCUGCCUCGAAGUGUGGAAUAACGUUCCGAAAGGGACGCUAAUACCGCAUGUGCUCAAGGUUUUUAGAAAGCAUUGAGUAAAGGAUUUAUUCGCUUCGAGAGGAGCCUGCGUCCCAUCAGCUAGUUGGUAAGGUAACGGCUUACCAAGGCUAUGACGGGUAGGGGACCUGAGAGGGUGGCCCCCCACAAUGGAACUGAAACACGGUCCAUACACCUACGGGUGGCAGCAGUAGGGAAUAUUAGAAAUGGGCGAAAGCCUGAUCUAGCGACACCGCGUGUGCGAUGAAGGCCUUCGGGUUGUAAAGCACUUUUUGGAAGGAAUAGGAAGGAAGGUACUUCCAGAAUAAGUCUCGGCUAACUACGUGCCAGCCGCCGCGGUAAUAC
rnacentral:rRNA from 1 species